CAACCCAAGCUUGGUCCAUGCACAAAGCAUCUUGGCCAUCUGGGCUUGCCAAGUUAUCUUGAUGGGAGCCGUUGAGGGUUACCGUGUUGCUGGUGGGCCUCUUGGUGAGGUUGUCGACCCACUCUACCCUGGUGGCAGCUUUGACCCACUGGGCCUCGCUGAGGACCCAGAGGCAUUUGCUGAGCUCAAGGUAAAGGAGAUUAAGAACGGAAGACUUGCCAUGUUCUCUAUGUUCGG
rnacentral:lncRNA from 1 species